UGAACUUCGGGUAUAUAAAGCUAUGUUGUUU
rnacentral:piRNA from 1 species